rnacentral:rRNA from 1 species
GAUGAACGCUGGCGGCGCGCCUAACACAUGCAAGUCGAACGAUUAAAGCACCUUCGGGUGUGUAUAAAGUGGCGAACGGCUGAGUAACACGUGGGCAACCUGCCCCUCUCAUUGGGAUAGCCACGGGAAACCGUGGAUAAUACCGAAUACUUCGAGACUUCCGCAUGGAAGACUCGAGAAAGCUCCGGCGGAGAGGGAUGGGCCCGCGGCCUGUUAGCUUGUUGGUGGGGUAACGGCCUACCAAGGCAAUGAUGGGUAGCUGGGUUGAGAGACCGACCAGCCAGAUUGGGACUGAGACACGGCCCAGACUCCUACGGGAGGCAGCAGUGGGGAAUCUUGCACAAUGGGCUAAAGCCUGAUGCAGCGACGCCGCGUGCGGGAUGAAGGCCUUCGGGUUGUAAACCGCUUUCAGCAGGGACGAGGCGAAAGUGACGGUACCUGCAGAAGAAGCCCCGGCUAACUACGUGCCAGCAGCCGCGGUAAUACGUAGGGGGCAAGCGUUAUCCGGAUUCAUUGGGCGUAAAGCGCUCGUAGGCGGUCUGUUAGGUCGGGAGUUAAAUCCGGGGGCUCAACCCCCGUUCGCUCCCGAUACCGGCAGACUUGAGUUUGGUAGGGGAAGGUGGAAUUCCCUAGUGUAGCGGUGGAAUGCACAGAUAUUAGGAAGAACACCAGUGGCGAAGGCGGCGCUUCGGGGCCAUAACUGAUGUUGAGGAGCGAAAGCCCGCGGAGCAUCUUGGGUAGAUGCUCUGGGCGUCUCUAUGGCUAAUU